rnacentral:rRNA from 1 species
GAGGGCCUCUGGGCUGUAAACCUCUUUUCUCAAGGAAGAAGAACUGACGGUACUUGAGGAAUAAGCCACGGCUAAUUCCGUGCCAGCAGCCGCGGUAAUACGGGAGUGGCAAGCGUUAUCCGGAAUUAUUGGGCGUAAAGCGUCCGCAGGCGGCCUUGUAAGUCUGUCGUUAAAGCGUGGAGCUCAACUCCAUUUAAGCGAUGGAAACUGUGAGGCUAGAGUGUGGUAGGGGCAGAGGGAAUUCCCGGUGUAGCGGUGAAAUGCGUAGAUAUCGGGAAGAACACCAGUGGCGAAGGCGCUCUGCUGGGCCAUAACUGACGCUCAUGGACGAAAGCCAGGGGAGCGAAAGGGAUUAGAUACCCCUGUAGUCCUGGCCGUAAACGAUGAACACUAGGUGUCGGGGGAAUCGACCCCCUCGGUGUCGUAGCCAACGCGUUAAGUGUUCCGCCUGGGGAGUACGCACGCAAGUGUGAAACUCAAGG